rnacentral:rRNA from 1 species
UACGUAGGGUGCGAGCGUUAAUCGGAAUUACUGGGCGUAAAGCGUGCGCAGGCGGUUCGUUGUGUCGGCGGUGAAAGCCCCGAGCUCAACUUGGGAAUGGCAUUGGAAACUGGCGGGCUGGAGUGUGGCAGAGGGGGGUGGAAUUCCACGUGUAGCAGUGAAAUGCGUAGAGAUGUGGAGGAACACCGGUGGCGAAGGCGGGUCUCUGGGCCGUAACUGACGCUGAGGAGCGAAAGCGUGGGGAGCGAACAGG